UACGGAGGGUGCGAGCGUUGUCCGGAAUCACUGGGCGUAAAGGGCGCGUAGGCGGCCUGAUAAGUCGGGGGUGAAAUCCUGCGGCUUAACCGCAGGGCUGCCUUCUAAACUGUCGGGCUAGAGCACGGUAGAGGCAGAUGGAAUUCCCGGUGUAGCGGUGGAAUGCGUAGAGAUGGGGGAGAACACUCGUGGCGAAGGCGGCCAGCUAGACCAGUUCUGACACUGAGGCGCGACAGCGUGGGGAGCAAACAGG
rnacentral:rRNA from 1 species